CCUACGGGAGGCAGCAGUGAGGAAUAUUGGUCAAUGGGCGCGAGCCUGAACCAGCCAAGUCGCGUGAGGGAAGACGGUCCUAUGGAUUGUAAACCUCUUUUGUCGGGGAGCAAAAGACGCCACGCGUGGCGUUCCGAGAGUACCCGAAGAAAAAGCAUCGGCUAACUCCGUGCCAGCAGCCGCGGUAAUACGGAGGAUGCGAGCGUUAUCCGGAUUUAUUGGGUUUAAAGGGUGCGAAGGCGGAAGAUCAAGUCAGCGGUAAAAUUGAGGGGCUCAACCUCUUCGAGCCGUUGAAACUGGUUGUCUUGAGUGAACGAGAAGUAUGCGGAAUGCGUGGUGUAGCGGUGAAAUGCAUAGAUAUCACGCAGAACUCCGAUUGCGAAGGCAGCAUACCGGCGCUCAACUGACGCUCAUGCACGAAAGUGUGGGUAUCGAACAGGAUUAGAUACCCCAGUAGUC
rnacentral:rRNA from 1 species